GAAAACAGCUACAAACCUAAGAAACACAUUUUCCUCAGGGACUUGGUUCCGGUGAAACACAUGCUGAUUGGCUGAUUUAGUUGUAUGUAAGGGGGUCGUCUCCAUGGAAUUGUGACUCAGUGAUGCCUUUUUGGAAUAAAAAGAAGCCUGUUCGUGACCCUUGUCAAAAACAAGCGUGCGACAUCCAGGCUUGUUUGCAAGCUAAGAAUUAUGACGAAUCCGCUUGUCGCAAAUAUAAAGUGGCACUAGAGAAGUGCUGUGAGAGGAAUGCUGGACGAGAAUCUGUUUGUUGUUCUGGUAUAAAGACUUCAGGGGUCAAGUCUGAGAAGUGACCCGGUUGAUGACAUCACAUGAUUAGAGACGUAUAGGGCACUGAGGUAUCUUGGUUGGUUCUACAACGCGAGGAAAAUGUGAUCUUUCGGGAACUCUGUUUCUGAAGUGACAACUUGAAAUGUACCUGUGUAAAACAUUCUUGGUUCAUUCAAAUGUUCUAUAGUGUGUGUUUGUUUUAUAUAUGAGUUGAAUUAUAUAUACUUAUCAGGAGGAUGAGGAGAGAGAGAGGAGGAAAAGGGGAAGGAAGGAAGAGGAUUAAACUGCUAAUGAUUCAUAGA